rnacentral:rRNA from 1 species
GGUUAAGCGACUAAGCGUACACGGUGGAUGCCCUGGCAGUCAGAGGCGAUGAAGGACGUGCUAAUCUGCGAUAAGCGUCGGUAAGGUGAUAUGAACCGUUAUAACCGGCGAUUUCCGAAUGGGGAAACCCAGUGUGAUUCGUCACACUAUCAUUAACUGAAUCCAUAGGUUAAUGAGGCGAACCGGGGGAACUGAAACAUCUAAGUACCCCGAGGAAAAGAAAUCAACCGAGAUUCCCCCAGUAGCGGCGAGCGAACGGGGAGGAGCCCAGAGCCUGAAUCAGUGUGUGUGUUAGUGGAAGCGUCUGGAAAGGCGCGCGAUACAGGGUGACAGCCCCGUACACAAAAAUGCACAUG